rnacentral:rRNA from 1 species
UCUCGAUCCAUCAUGCAAGUCGAGCGGACAGAUGGGUAGCUUGCUCCCUGAUGUUAGCGGCGGACGGGUGAGUAACACGUGGGUAACCUGCCUGUAAGACUGGGAUAACUCCGGGAAACCGGGGCUAAUACCGGAUGGUUGUCUGAACCGCAUGGUUCAGACAUAAAAGGUGGCUUCGGCUACCACUUACAGAUGGACCCGCGGCGCAUUAGCUAGUUGGUGAGGUAACGGCUCACCAAGGCGACGAUGCGUAGCCGACCUGAGAGGGUGAUCGGCCACACUGGGACUGAGACACGGCCCAGACUCCUACGGGAGGCAGCAGUAGGGAAUCUUCCGCAAUGGACGAAAGUCUGACGGAGCAACGCCGCGUGAGUGAUGAAGGUUUUCGGAUCGUAAAGCUCUGUUGUUAGGGAAGAACAAGUGCCGUUCAAAUAGGGCGGCACCUUGACGGUACCUAACCAGAAAGCCACGGCUAACUACGUGCCAGCAGCCGCGGUAAUACGUAGGUGGCAAGCGUUGUCCGGAAUUAUUGGGCGUAAAGGGCUCGCAGGCGGUUUCUUAAGUCUGAUGUGAAAGCCCCCGGCUCAACCGGGGAGGGUCAUUGGAAACUGGGGAACUUGAGUGCAGAAGAGGAGAGUGGAAUUCCACGUGUAGCGGUGAAAUGCGUAGAGAUGUGGAGGAACACCAGUGGCGAAGGCGACUCUCUGGUCUGUAACUGACGCUGAGGAGCGAAAGCUUGGGAGCAAAGGAUUAAUCCCCUGGUAGCCCACCGUAAACAUGAUGCUAGUGUUAGGGGUUUCCGCCCCUUAUGCUGCACCUAACAUUAGCUUCCCUGGGAGUCCGUCCAAACUAAACUCAAAGGAUUCGUCCCCACUAUUUUUUUC